CGACCCCAGGUCAGGCGGGACUACCCGCUGAGUUUAAGCAUAUCAAA
rnacentral:rRNA from 1 species